rnacentral:rRNA from 1 species
CAGCACCUCAAGUGGUCAGGAUGAUUAUUGGGCCUAAAGCAUCCGUAGCCGGCGCUGUAAGUUUUCGGUUAAAUCUGUACGCUCAACGUACAGGCUGCCGGGAAUACUGCAGAGCUAGGGAGUGGGAGAGGUAGACGGUACUCGGUAGGAAGGGGUAAAAUCCUUUGAUCUAUUGAUGACCACCUGUGGCGAAGGCGGUCUACCAGAACACGUCCGACGGUGAGGGAUGAAAGCUGGGGGAGCGAACCGGAUUAGAUACCCGCGUAGUCC